GGAGGAUGCGAGCGUUAUCCGGAUUUAUUGGGUUUAAAGGGUGCGUAGGCGGCCUGUUAAGUCAGCGGUAAAAUCGCGGGGCUCAACCCCGUCGAGCCGUUGAUACUGGGAGGCUUGAGUUGGAGGGAAGUAGGCGGAAUGCGCGGUGUAGCGGUGAAAUGCAUAGAUAUCGCGCAGAACUCCGAUUGCGAAGGCAGCCUGCCGGCUCCGUACUGACGCUGAGGCACGAAAGCGUGGGGAUCGAA
rnacentral:rRNA from 1 species